AAAUUGGUUUUUUUAAAAACCACGAUAUUAAAUUAACUAUUGACC
rfam:Phaseolus vulgaris cultivar G19833 chromosome 4, whole genome shotgun sequence.